rnacentral:rRNA from 1 species
AGAGUUUGAUCAUGGCUCAGAUUGAACGCUGGCGGCGUGCCUAACACAUGCAAGUCGAGCGGUAACGGGUGUAGCAAUACAUGCUGACGAGCGGCGGACGGGUGAGCAAUAUUUGGGAAUCUGCCUAUUAGUGGGGGACAACCCGGGGAAACUCGGGCUAAUACCGCAUACGCUCUACGGAGGAAAGCCGGGGACCGCAAGGCCUGGCGCUAAUAGAUGAGCCCAAAUCGGAUUAGCUAGUUGGUGAGGUAAAGGCUCACCAAGGCGACGAUCCGUAGCUGGUCUGAGAGGACGACCAGCCACACCGGAACUGAGACACGGUCCGGACUCCUACGGGAGGCAGCAGUGGGGAAUAUUGGACAAUGGGCGAAAGCCUGAUGGAGCGACACCGCGUGAAGGAUGAAGCCUUUGUUGGUGUAAACUUCUUUUCUCUGGGAAGAUAAUGACGGUACCAGAGGAAUAAGGGGCGGCAAACUUCGUGCCAGCAGCCGCGGUAAUACGAAGGCCCCAAGCGUUAUCCGGAAUUACUGGGCGUAAAGCGUCUGUAGGUGGUCUGGAAAGUUUCAAGUGAAAGGUCAGGGCUUAACCCUGUACUUGCUUGGAAAACUAUCAGACUUGAGUGCGGGAGAGGCAAGCAGAACUGUAUGAGUAGGGGUGCAAUCCGUUGAUACAUACAAGAAUACCAAAAGCGAAGGCAGCUUGCUGGAACGCUACUGACACUGAGAGACGAAAGCGUGGGGAGCAAAAGGGAUUAGAUACCCCUGUAGUCCACGCCCUAAACGAUGGAUGCUAAAUGUCGGCGCAAGCCGGUGUUUCAAGCUAACGCAUUAAGCAUCCCGCCUGAGGAGUACGGCCGCAAGGUUAAAACUCAAAUGAAUAGACGGGGACCCGCACAAGCAGUGGAUCAUGUGGUUUAAUUCGACACUAAACGAGGAACCUCACCUAGGCUUGACAUUGAUAGAAUUUGCUGGAAACAGCGAAGUGCCUGCAAGGGAACUUGAAAACAGGCGCUGCAUGGUUGUCGUCAGCUCGUGCCUUGAGGUGUUCGGUUAAGUCCGUUAACGAGCGCAACCCAUGUCGUUAGUUAUUAUGUCUAACGAGACUGCUCGAGUUAAUCGAGAGGAAGGUGUGGAUGACGUCAAAUCAGCAUGGCCCUUAUGCCUAGGGCUACACACAUGAUACAAUGGUCGGUACAAAGGGUUGCCAAGUGGUAACACGGAGCCAAUCCCAGAAAGCCGAUCUCAGUCCAGAUUGAGGGCUGCAACUCGCCCUCAUGAAGUUGGAAUUGCUAGUAAUCGUGAAUCAGCUAUGUCACGGUGAAUCUGUUCCCGGGUCUUGUACUCACCGCCCGUCAAACCAUGGGAGGUGUGCGUACCUGAAGUCCUUCGAGUAAUACGGAGGCCCACGGUAAACACACUGACUGGGGUUAAGUCGUAACAAGGUA